GACAGAGGUGCCGAGCGUUAGGCGGAAUCACUGGGCUUAAAGCGUGUGUAGGCGGGGCGUUAAGUGUCUUGUGAAAUCCCCCGGCUCAACCGGGGAAUGGCUGGGCAUACUGGCGAUCUUGAGCAGUCUAGGGGCAGAUGGAACAAGUGGUGGAGCGGUGAAAUGCGUAGAUAUCACUUGGAACGCCAACGGUGAAGACAGUCUGCUGGGGACUUGCUGACGCUGAGACACGAAAGCCAGGGGAGCGAACGGG
rnacentral:rRNA from 1 species